CGAACGCUGGCGGCAGGCCUAAUACAUGCAAGUCGAACGGCUCUUCGGAGCAGUGGCGGACGGGUGAGUAACGCAUGGGAAUGUGCCCUUUGGUACGGAACAACACAGGGAAACUUGUGCUAAUACCGUAUGUGCCCUUCGGGGGAAAGAUUUAUCGCCAUUGGAGCAGCCCGCGUUGGAUUAGGUAGUUGGUGAGGUAAAGGCUCACCAAGCCUACGAUCCAUAGCUGGUCUGAGAGGAUGACCAGCCACACUGGGACUGAGACACGGCCCAGACUCCUACGGGAGGCAGCAGUAGGGAAUCUUGCGCAAUGGGCGAAAGCCUGACGCAGCCAUGCCGCGUGUAUGAUGAAGGUCUUAGGAUUGUAAAAUACUUUCACCGGGGAAGAUAAUGACGGUACCCGGAGAAGAAGCCCCGGCUAACUUCGUGCCAGCCGCCGCGGUAAGAC
rnacentral:rRNA from 1 species